rnacentral:rRNA from 1 species
CCUACGGGGUGCAGCAGUGGGGAAUAUUGGGCAAUGGGCGCAAGCCUGACCCAGCAACGCCGCGUGAAGGAAGAAGGCUUUCGGGUUGUAAACUUCUUUUGUCAGGGAAGAGUAGAAGACGGUACCUGACGAAUAAGCCACGGCUAACUACGUGCCAGCAGCCGCGGUAAUACGUAGGUGGCAAGCGUUGUCCGGAUUUACUGGGUGUAAAGGGCGUGUAGCCGGGUUGACAAGUCAGAUGUGAAAUCCUGCGGCUUAACCGGAGAACUGCAUUUGAAACUGUUGAUCUUGAGUACUGGAGAGGCAGACGGAAGGCCUAGUGUAGCGGUGAAAUGCGUAGAUAUUAGGAGGAACACCAGUGGCGAAGGCGGUCUGCUGGACAGCAACUGACGGUGAGGCGCGAAAGCGUGGGGAGCAAACAGGAUUAGAUACCCCGGUAGUC